rnacentral:rRNA from 1 species
CGGCAGGCCUAACACAUGCAAGUCGAACGGUAACAGGAAGAAGCUUGCUUCUUUGCUGACGAGUGGCGGACGGGUGAGUAAUGUCUGGGAAACUGCCUGAUGGAGGGGGAUAACUACUGGAAACGGUAGCUAAUACCGCAUAACGUCGCAAGACCAAAGAGGGGGACCUUCGGGCCUCUUGCCAUCGGAUGUGCCCAGAUGGGAUUAGCUAGUAGGUGGGGUAACGGCUCACCUAGGCGACGAUCCCUAGCUGGUCUGAGAGGAUGACCAGCCACACUGGAACUGAGACACGGUCCAGACUCCUACGGGAGGCAGCAGUGGGGAAUAUUGCACAAUGGGCGCAAGCCUGAUGCAGCCAUGCCGCGUGUAUGAAGAAGGCCUUCGGGUUGUAAAGUACUUUCAGCGGGGAGGAA